rnacentral:rRNA from 1 species
UACAGAGGUGCCAAGCGUUAGGCGGAAUCACUGGGCUUAAAGCGUGUGUAGGCGGACUUCUAAGUACCUUGUGAAAUCCCACGGCUCAACCGUGGAACUGCUGGGUAUACUGGGAGUCUUGAGCCACUUAGGGGUCAGCGGAACAAAUGGUGGAGCGGUGAAAUGCGUAGAUAUCAUUUGGAACGCCAAUGGUGAAAACAGCUGACUGGGAGUGUGCUGACGCUGAGACACGAAAGCUAGGGGAGCAAACGGG